UACAGCUAUAUCACGUCGAAACACCGGUUUCUGUGCGAUCACUGAAGUUAAGCAACGUCGAACCUGGUUAGUACCUAGAUGGGUGACUGCUUUGGUAUACUCGGUGCUGUAAG